rnacentral:lncRNA from 1 species
GGAAAACUUCAAAAACCCCCCCUGUGGUUUCGUGCAUUCUCACUUUGCUACCCUGUUGUUUAAAACGUAUCAAUUUGCCCCCCUGUGGUUUCGUUUUUAUCUUUUUGUUAUCAAUUUUAUUAUUAUUAUUUUUUAAAAUCAGUGACAAAGUUAAAAUUAAAGGAUACUAAAGUGACUAUUUGAUAAAUAUAGAUGGUUAUCUGAAGUUUUUUGUAUAUAAUUUAACGAAAUAUUAACGAAAAAGCUUCCGAAAAAAUAAAAAUGAAACCACAGGGGGGUAAAUUGAUACGUUUUAAACCACAGGGUGGCAAAGUGAGAAUGCACGAAACCACA